rnacentral:rRNA from 1 species
CCUACGGGUGGCAGCAGUGGGGAAUAUUGCGCAAUGGGCGAAAGCCUGACGCAGCGACGCCGCGUGAGGGAUGAAGGUCUUCGGAUCGUAAACCUCUGUUAGCAGGGAAGAACGGUCAUUGUGCUAAUCAGCAGUGAAUUGACGGUACCUGCAAAGGAAGCACCGGCUAACUCCGUGCCAGCAGCCGCGGUAAUACGGAGGGUGCGUGCGUUAAUCGGAAUUAUUGGGCGUAAAGCGCUCGUAGGCGGUAUGUCAAGUCAAGGGUGAAAGUCCCGCGCACAACGUGGGAACUGCCUUUGAAACUGGCAAACUGGAGUGUGUGAGAGGAUAGUGGAAUUCCAGGUGUAGGGGUGAAAUCCGUAGAUAUCUGGAGGAACACCAGUGGCGAAGGCGACUAUCUGGCACAUAACUGACGCUGAGGAGCGAAAGCGUGGGUAGCAAACAGGAUUAGAUACCCCAGUAGUC